rnacentral:rRNA from 1 species
UACGUAGGGGGCAAGCGUUAUCCGGAUUUACUGGGUGUAAAGGGAGCGUAGACGGUUUUGCAAGUCAGAAGUGAAAGCCCGGGGCUCAACCGCGGGACUGCUUUUGAAACUGUGAGACUGGAGUGCAGGAGAGGUAAGUGGAAUUCCUAGUGUAGCGGUGAAAUGCGUAGAUAUUAGGAGGAACACCGGUGGCGAAGGCGGCUUACUGGACUGUAACUGACGUUGAGGCUCGAAAGCGUGGGGAGCAAACAGG